GACGAACGCUGGCGGCGUGCUUAACACAUGCAAGUCGAACGGAAAGGCCCUGCUUUUGUGGGGUGCUCGAGUGGCGAACGGGUGAGUAACACGUGAGUAACCUGCCCUUGACUUUGUGAUAACUUCAGGAAACUGGGGCUAAUACUGGAUAGGAGCUCCUGCUGCAUGGUGGGGGUUGGAAAGUUUCGGCGGUUGGGGAUGGACUCGCGGCGUAGCAGCUUGUUGGUGGGGUAGUGGCUUAGCAAGGCGUUGACGGGUAGCCGGCCUGAGAGGGUGACCGGCCACAUUGGGACUGGGGUACGGCCCAGAGUCCAACGGGAGGCAGCAGUGGGAAAUAUUGCACAAUGGGCGGAGGCCGGAUGCAGCAACGCCGCGUGCGGGAUGACGGCCGUCGGGUUGUAAACCGCUUUCGCCUGGAACGAAGCGUGAGUGACGGUAAUGGGUAAAGAAGCACCGGCUAACUACGUG
rnacentral:rRNA from 1 species